AUUGAACGCUGGCGGCAGGCCUAACACAUGCAAGUCGAGCGGAGCGGCGGACGGGUGAGUAAUGCCUAGGAAUCUGCCUGGUAGUGGGGGAUAACGUCCGGAAACGGGCGCUAAUACCGCAUACUAUCAGCUGAGCCUAGGUCGGAUUAGCUAGUUGGUGGGGUAAAGGCCUACCAAGGCGACGAUCCGUAACUGGUCUGAGCGGCGGAUCAGUCACACUGGAACUGAGACACGGCCCAGACGCCUACGGGAGGCAGCAGUAGGGAAUCUUCGGCAAUGGGGGGAACCCUGACCGAGCAACGCCGCGUGAGUGAAGAAGGCUUUCGGGUUGUAAACCUCUUUCGCUAUCGAACGGGUAGGUGGAGAAGAAGCGCCGGCUAACUACGUGCCAGCCGCCGCGGUAAUUC
rnacentral:rRNA from 1 species